rnacentral:misc_RNA from 1 species
GGCAAGGAGGUAAAAAUGCCCUAAA